GUAAAUAUAGUUUAAUAUAAAACACUAAAUUGUGGGUUUAGAGUUAGGGGCCUAAGCCCCCUUAUCUACC
rnacentral:tRNA from 1 species